rnacentral:lncRNA from 1 species
GGAAGGCAAAGGGUUUUGCUUGGAUUUCUGGGCUGGCCACGUGGCCAUAUGUUCAACACUCCAAGAAGCUGUUCCUGGAGCCAGACUGAGAGAAAGUUAGGGCUGCAAACAGGAUCUGAAUGCCCACCCCACCCCCCGCUCUGGAGAGGCCCCUCCAUGUAAACAGUAUGAAUUUCUGAGAAACAUACAGAAGGCCAGACUGUCAGGAAAGG